GAUUAAAUGGCUGAAAAUAAGCAAUAGACUGUAAAUCUAUGUAUAAGAAAUAAUCUUUUUAAUCA
rnacentral:tRNA from 1 species